ACCCAGCUGACGAGUCCCAAAUAGGACGAAACACGCGUUCUGGAC
rfam:Schistosoma rodhaini strain Burundi genome assembly, scaffold: SROB_scaffold0004486